rnacentral:rRNA from 1 species
AUUGAACGCUGGCGGCAUGCUUUACACAUGCAAGUCGAACGGUAACAGGCCGCAAGGUGCUGACGAGUGGCGAACGGGUGAGUAAUGCAUCGGAACGUGCCCAGUCGUGGGGGAUAACUACUCGAAAGAGUAGCUAAUACCUCAUACGAUCUAUGGAUGAAAGCGGGGGACCGUAAGGCCUCGCGCGAUUGGAGCGGCCGAUGUCAGAUUAGGUAGUUGGUGGGGUAAAGGCUCACCAAGCCAACGAUCUGUAGCUGGUCUGAGAGGACGACCAGCCACACUGGGACUGAGACACGGCCCAGACUCCUACGGGAGGCAGCAGUGGGGAAUUUUGGACAAUGGGCGCAAGCCUGAUCCAGCAAUGCCGCGUGCAGGAAGAAGGCCUUCGGGUUGUAAACUGCUUUUGUACGGAACGAAACGGCUCUGGUUAAUACCCGGGGCUAAUGACGGUACCGUAAGAAUAAGCACCGGCUAACUACGUG